rnacentral:rRNA from 1 species
AAAGAAAAGCUUCUAUCGAGUUUAAAGGCGCCCGUACCGUAAACCGACACAGGUGGGUGAGGAGAGUAUCCUAAGGCCAGCGAGAGAACUAUUGUUAAGGAACUCGGCAAGAUGACCCCGUAACUUAGGGAGAAGGGGUGCCUGUCUAUGACAGGCCGCAGAGAAUAGGCCCAAGCGACUGUUUACCAAAAACACAGGUUUCUGCUAAGUCGCAAGACGAUGUAUAGGAGCUGACGCCUGCCCGGUGCUGGAAGGUUAAGGGGAUCUGUUAGAGCAAUCGAAGCAGUGAACUUAAGCCCCAGUAAACGGCGGCCGUAACCAUAACGGUCCUAAGGUAGCGAAAUUCCUUGUCGGGUAAGUUCCGACCCGCACGAAAGGCGUAACGAUUUGGGCACUGUCUCAACAAUAGACUCGGUGAAAUUGUAAUCCCGGUGAAGAUGCCGGGUACCUGCGACAGGACGGAAAGACCCCAUGGAGCUUUACUGUAGCUUGACGUUGGGUCUUGGUACUACAUGUACAGGAUAGGUGGGAGACUAUGAAGCAUGGACGCCAGUCUGUGUGGAGUCAUCCUUGGGAUACCACCCUUGUAGUACUGGGAUCCUAACCAUAGGCCUUGAAUCAGGUCUUGGAACACCGUCAGGUGGGCAGUUUGACUGGGGCGGUCGCCUCCUAAAAAGUAACGGAGGCGCUCAAAGGUUUCCUCAGCACGGUCGGAAAUCGUGCGAGGAGUGUAAAGGCAAAAGGAAGCUUGAUUGCAAGACAUACAGGUCGAGCAAGGACGAAAGUCGGACUUAGUGAUCCGGUGGUACCGCAUGGAAGGGCCAUCGCUCAACGGAUAAAGCUACCCUGGGGAUAACAGGCUUAUCUCCCCCAAGAGUCCACAUCGACGGGGAGGUUUGGCACCUCGAUGUCGGCUCAUCACAUCCUGGGGCUGUAGUAGGUCCCAAGGGUUGGGCUGUUCGCCCAUUAAAGUGGUACGCGAGCUGGGUUCAGAACGUCGUGAGACAGUUCGGUCCCUAUCCGUCGCAGGCGUAGGAAAUUUGAGAAGACCUGUCCUUAGUACGAGAGGACCGGGAUGGACGUACCUCUGGUGUACCAGUUGUUCUGCCAAGGGCAUGGCUGGGUAGCUAUGUACGGAAUGGAUAAGCGCUGAAAGCAUCUAAGCGCGAAGCCAACUUCAAGAUAAGAUUUCCCACCGUAAGGGUAAGACCCCAGGAAGACUACCUGGUUGAUAGGUCGAAGGUGUAAGUGCAGUAAUGUAUUUAGCUUAUCGAUACUAAUAGGUCGAGGACUUGAUC